UACGGAGGGGGCUAGCGUUGUUCGGAAUUACUGGGCGUAAAGCGCGCGUAGGCGGACAUUUAAGUCGGGGGUGAAAUCCCGGGGCUCAACCAUAAGGCUAUUAUUCAAACUGGCAAACUCGAGAAUGAGAGAGGUCACUGGAAUUCCUUGUGUAGGAGUGAAAUCCGUAGAUAUAAGGAGGAACACCAAUGGCGUAGGCAGGUGACUGGCUCAUUUCUGACACUGAGGCACGAAAGCGUGGGGAGCGAACGGG
rnacentral:rRNA from 1 species